rnacentral:lncRNA from 1 species
ACAAUUUAAGUUCAUAAUGCUUAUCUAUAGUAUAACUCUCGUUAAGCUAAAAUUACGAAUUAUUUUAAAAAACAUAGAAAUAUAAAUAGGCUUAGUAUUUUAUUUUUUAUAUACUAUGUGAUAAUGAUUUGUUGUAUAUAUAUAUAUACAUAUUUCUUUAAAGUAUUUUACCAUAUUUAACUGUUUAAAUGUGUUGUAUAUUAUAAUUUGUGAAAACAUUUUGUAAUAAUGUAGCAUAUAUAUACAUAAUAAAUAGUAGUUAUUUUUCACAUCAUAUGUAUUUUUAUUUUGUCUAUAUAUUCGAUGACAUAGUUUUGCAGCAUGGCGGAAGGCGAUCCAUUUGAUAAUUCGACUUGGAGGCAAAGAGUAAAUACUUUAUCUACAGAUUUAAAUAAUACGGAAGAUGAAAAUGAUACAAUUGGGGCACUUAACAGACAUGCGCGAAAUGUUACUUGGGAAUAUAUUGGUCAUCCGGGAAUAUCGCCAUUUUUGUUUUUUGGUGCUUUUUUACUUGUUUUGGUUUGUGUUAUUGUUAUUUUAAUUGUUUAUGUGGCUUUACUUAAACACUUAUUUAAUGAUGACGUAAGAUUAAUACUAAUACAUACAUAUAUAUAUAUAUAUAUAUAUAUAUACGUGACAUGUUUAUUUAACUGCAUAAAAUUAAUUAAGUGUUCAUUAAACAAUAUGUUACGUAUUUUUUUAAUUUUUAAAAGGAGGAAGAUGAUGAAAACCUACGUGAACAAGUGCGUCAAGCGUUGCAUGCUAAUCCUCCCAACGAUAAUGAUGAGUCACUUGAACCAUUGCUUCAAGAGGGGGAGGAUGAUGAUCCAGGCAAUGAAGUUGAAGAAAGCACGGUAUAAUAAGCUCAGUAGCAAUAACCAUGUAUUAAAGCCAUUCAUUUAAUAAAUACAAAUAUUGAAUGUAAAACGGUAUAAUGUAGCAAAACUUUAAAAAAAUUAUUGAGAUAAUAUUUUUAAAAUUAAAAAUUAUAGUAAAAGUUUUAAACAUUAAAGUCUACAUAAGAAUUAUUAGAAUAUGACGAUAGUAAUUAUGACAAUAUUGAACAAAUAAAGAUACAAACAGUGUCA